rnacentral:rRNA from 1 species
GAUGAACGCUGGCGGCGUGCCUAAUACAUGCAAGUCGAGCGAACAGACGAGGAGCUUGCUCCUCUGACGUUAGCGGCGGACGUGUGAGUAACACGUGGAUAACCUACCUAUAAGACUGGGAUAACUUCGGGAAACCGGAGCUAAUACCGGAUAAUAUAUUGAACCGCAUGGUUCAAUAGUUAAAGACGGUUUUUCUUUCACUUAUAGAUUGAUCCGCGCCGCAUUAGCUAGUUGGUAAGGUAACGGCUUACCAAGGCGACGAUUCGUAGCCGACGUGAGAGGGUGAUAGGACACACUGGAACGGAGACACGGACCAGACUACUACGGGAGGCAGCAGAAGGGAAUAUUCCGCAAUGGGCGAAAGCAUGACGGAGCAAAGCCGCGUGAGUGAUGAAGGUCUUAGGAUCGUAAAACCCUGUUAUUAGGGAAGAAAAAAUGUGUAAGUAACUAUGCACGUAUUGACGGUACCUAAUCAGAAAGCCACGGCUAACUACGUG